rnacentral:misc_RNA from 1 species
GAUGAAGAACGUAGCGAAGUGCGAUAAGUAAUGUGAAUUGCAGAAUUCAGUGAAUCAUCGAAUCUUUGAACGCACAUUGCGCCCGCUAGUAUUCUGGCGGGCAUGCCUGUCCGAGCGUCAUUUCAACCCUCAAGCCCCCGGGCUUGGUGUUGGGGAUCGGCGAGCCUCCGCGCCCGCCGUCCCCUAAAUCUAGUGGCGGUCUCGCUGUAGCUUCCUCUGCGUAGUAGCACACCUCGCACUGGGAAACAGCGCGGCCACGCCGUUAAACCCCCAACUUCUGAACGUUUGACCUCGGAUCAGGUAGGAAUACCCGCUGAACUUAAGCAUAUCAAUAAGCGGAGGA